CCCAUUUAUCCCAUUUCUUGACCGGUUAAGUUAGCAUUAUGCGCGCCGCGUGCGUUCGAAAUUUCGACUGUACAUUACGAUUUAAGAUACCACAUACCUCAUUGGGUUUGCGUUUGCAUGCUGAUUUAAUUAAUAAAGUCCAACCAGAAUGGAUACCCAGUCUUACACUACAGAUUAUCAGUAAAAAUGGACAAUAUUAAAGAAACAAAUACAAUUAUUUUGUCAUUCACUUGAGCCAAGAGGAUUGAAUGAUAUAUUGGACUAACCAUUGACAUCUCUAUCAAUAAAGUUUGACUUGAAACUUGACAAUGAAUAUUCUAUUUGAAGAUGUAAUAAGAACAUUUGCGUGGCAAAGUCCAGAAAAAAGUUUUUUGAAACACUAACUUACUACCGUUGACUAACAAAUAUAAAAUAGAGAUAUCGAUCUUGCAUCACGGUCUACUAAAAAUUCAGCCCAAGCCUCUUCCAUAUUCACCCUUACCAUUUGGCGACCAUGGUUUUGAGGUUCAUGAUGACCUGAAAAUAUGAAAUCAAAUCAAUGAAAAAUUCACAAUGAUCAUUGACCAAGUCUAGUGCACAGUAAAAGACAUUUUUGGCUAAAACAAGUUAAGCUUUAAAAAGUGUUGUACUUGGUUUUAUAAGUAAGAUUUGUACCUCGCAAAUAAGGCUGACCUCUUCUUUGACGAUUUCUACGUCUAACCACUUCAGCAGGUUGUAUUGGAGCUUGUUCAAUGGGUGGUGGCUGAUGAACUGCAAGUUGUUGAAUCCGCAAUAGUGGUGGCUGAACUGCUGGGACUACAGCUAACGGUGGUGGACGCAGUGGACCCAGUAAUAGUGGUCGUAAAACCCUUGCGCGUGGGGGUAUUGCCAAGUUGUUAAUUUCCGGCACUACAUAAUAUUAUUUAAUGGUUAAACUAAUUAAAUAUCAUAUUGUAAUUAAAUGUUUUAAUUCCAAGUAGAAAAACAAUGGUGUGGAGCAAAUUUUUGGACAAUACCAAGAGGAUAAAAAAAAAAAAAAACAGAAGCAUAUGUUUGAUACUUAUUAUAUUAGCAAUAGUGUGUUAAAAAUAUCCUGGACAGAAAAUUUGUCAAUUGAAAAACUGUAAUAAUGAUGGCAAGAUGAUACAUUUUUAAAGAAGAAAUACACGGAUAGAGCACUUAAUAAAGAAGAAAUGUAACUACCAUAAUAGAAUAAAAAUUUGAAAGAAAACCAGGGAAAAGAACAUAUUGUCAAACAAUGUUGGAUAUAGGAAAGGGAUCCUACUAAAAAAUGAAGGAAGCUGCUCCAGUCCAAAGUUUUGCUCUCCUAUUUGGUUCCUAAUGAUUUGUUCCGAAUAGCUCAACUGUCUUACCUAUGAAGUAUGAAUUAGUCUAAUUACAUUAACCAAUUAAAUACAUAUUAUACAAGUCCAAGCAUUAUAAACAUUAUAAUUGGCCAAUAUAUUACAAUAAAUUAUGAAUGAACAUUAGUGUAUUUAUAAAAUUAAGUAAUAAUCAUUUUUAUACCUGCUGUCCAUUUACCGCCCUUCUUAGAUCAUUUCUUGACCUCUCCUCUAUUGUUCAUUUUAACUAACCAUAGAACUGGUAGAGAGAUGGAUGUUGACCCAUCAAUCUUAGGAGUGAACUAUGAUAUGAUUCAAUGUAGUUAUUCGUCCUAUGUUGGAGGCCGUAAACAGAGAAUCUUUGUGGCGUUACUGUGUCCAUCCAAUACCGUUGAAAAUAUUGCAUAAGCUCAUGUAAUUCCACAUCAAGAUGGUAUAAUACAAGAUUUACUUACCAGUGUCUUGAAUAACAUGAAAUCCCAACUGGAUAGAAAAUGCCACACCGUGAUACCUUAUUUCAUCGGCAGGCAAAUGUGCUAAUGACAUCAACUGAAAUUAUUAAAAAUACUUCUAUAUCUUGCCAACUAUUUAAAUGGAUAGUGGUAUAUUAUACAUAGUGAAAAUGUAAAUUGUAAAUAGAUCAAAAUAAGAAUAAAAAAUUUGAAUAAUUAUUACCAUUCUUAAGAUCCUCCUCGCAUCUUCAUUUGUA